rfam:Burkholderia calidae type strain LMG 29321 genome assembly, contig: contig000156
ACGAGCCGUGUAAAUCGAGAGGUUUACGCACAGUUCUGUGGGCGGCUGGUGGUGAAAUUCCUCGGGCCGACCCGGC